rfam:Calothrix sp. PCC 6303, complete genome.
GUCAGUAACCCAGCCCUAAAGGGACUGAGCUUGUUUGAGAAAUCAAGCAAGCUGUACUGACCAGACCACCUGACAACAGGUAAACGUUAUUUGAGUCACGACACCCUGCGGAUGCGUAGCUAGUCCCCUGCUCUGUCGCUUGUGAUUAAACAGUUCUAAGGUCACUGGAACAGUGUUGCAAGCCUAACAAGCUCUUAUAACAGGUCGUUCGCGUAGCGUGUCCCCUUGGGACUUAGCUAACAUUAC